AAGGAAGAUAAGUAGAUUUCAUCCCUCGUGUCGUGAUAUCUCCUUUGCUCUUCCCCAGAGCCACCACAACCCUUCAAGGUAAACUGACCCCAGGCAAGGAGGAUGCAGGAACUGGACAUUUGGGGCCCUUCACAGUUGAGAGGAGAAUUGGUUCUGUUUCCCUGAUGAUAGUCCAAGCCCUGCAUAAACUUGGGCCUGGUGUGCAAGUUCACCGCAUUGUCUGAUUGAUUACACCAGACAAGACGUUUGCUUGAAAAGGAAAUACACUGGCGGCCCCAAUCUUGACUAAUUUGAACUGAUCUCUUCUGAUACAAUGGCUCCUUCUACAGCUGAGGACAGAGAAGCAAACUGGAAGAUCAGUAGAACAACAUGGAGGAAACCUCCUCUAUUAUCCAUCCUAUUAUCGAUUCUAUAUACAUGUAUUUACAUGCUGCAAAAAAAGAUUGGAAAGUGUUCCUUUAUAUCUCUUUCUUUCCUUUUCCUUUUCCUGUUUCUUUUAUUUAACUUUUAUUUACCUAUUACUUUUCUUUAUUUCCCUUGUUUUAUUUUGCAAAUUUUGAACA